rnacentral:lncRNA from 1 species
CUUUUUCUAAAGUCAUUAAUAAGCAGAAGAGCAUGGAAAAUGUCAUCAGAGAUUGUCUUGUGAAAGAACAAUUAUUAUCUGUUGGAACAGCUCAAGCAGAGAGAAAGAGUAUCCUCCUGGAGCUAAGAAACCUCUCCCAGUGAAAUUUAACCAGGGCUUGAUGUAUUCCUGUGCCAAAUGUUGCUUUUGAAGAAUCAGCAUUUCCUUCUCAUCCUCUGAUGUGACUUGACCAAAGAGAGGAAGGGGACUGAGAAAGCAACAUGGUAGGGCAGAGCUGCCCAACUGUGUGAAACAACCCCAAGCACUCUUGGAGCUGAUGCGUUACAGACACCUUCACAGAG